AGAUAAUGAUUCAAUCAAUUCCUGAUGGACAAAAUCAAGUCCUGCUCUACAUUUCUUGUUUGAGAACCUGUUUCACCCAAAUACACGUCAUAAUAUAUUUGAAAGGACUAUCGCAACUUCCGUUGCGUGCAAAUUUAAUCACAAAUGUCACUCAGGAAGCUAGGCAAGGUUACAACAUAAGCGGUUUGUACAUUCAUAGCAAAAGUCAUUUACUCUUUGGCACACAUUUGAUAUUACAAAAUCAGCAUGUGAUCAUGAUAGGCUUCAAAACACAACUUCUAUUUAACCAUCCUAACAUUUUUUUUUUAACUAUAUCUUACAUUAUGGAGUUACUAAAAAGGAUAAUAUUAAAAUCUCUUACAAACAGUACCAUGGUUAAGUAUACAGUUUAAAAGUUUGGGGUUAGUAAGAUUGAAAAGAAAAACAUUUUUAAAGAGAUUACGUUAAUACUUUUAUUCAAAAAUAUUAAGCAGCACAACUGUUUUAAACAUUGAUAAUAAUAAGAAAUGUUUCAUGAGCACCAACUCGACUGGAUUAAUUACUAAUGAAAAUCCAGCUUUGCCAUCACAGGAAUAAAAUAUAUUUUAACAUAUAUUCAAAAUGUAAAGUUAUUUUAAAUUGUAAAAAUAUUUUACAAUAUCACUGUUUUGACUGUAUUUUUGAUCAAAUAAAUGCAGCCUUGCUGAACAUAAGAGAUUUAUUUAAAAAAAAAAAAAAAACAUUAAAUACUGCUACCGACUCUAAACUUUUGUUUGUUUAUUAUACGUUUUUAACGGCAUGUUAGCAUCAGGGCUACUUACAUGGCAAACACAAGGUCAAUAAAAUUUAAAUUAUAAUAUAAAUAAUUUCAACUUGACAGAAGAUAGAAAAUCUAAAAUACAUUUGGGUGAUACAUUCUGAAAUAUUCCAUGUAAACAUGUUUCUGAAUAAGAGCGUUUUCUAGCAGUAUAAUAAAAAAUACAGUCCAACAGAAUAUGUUUAACAGUCAAAGGAACUUGACACGAAAGACAUAAAGGAGGAAUUUCAUCUAUCAAUAGAAACCCAUGUGUAAGCCUUGAGUGGCCCAGUCGGCACCUAGUGAAGACGACUUGACGUUAUGGAAGACACUUCUUUUUAUACUGGAGUUUAUCUCAUACAGUUUUUCAUUUUUAUAUCCGUCCAAUUCCUUCUGCCACUUGUUAGUGAUGUAUAAGCUAAUUAAUGGUCUGAAGUCAGAAGGUGGUAUUUGACAGUCAGAUAUUUCCAGGUCAAGCACAUCCCUGGCAGCCGUGUCCGCUCUCUCAUUACCAGUCAGUCCAAUGUGACUUGGAACCCAGCAAAAGAUAAAAGUUUUCCUUCUUUAAAAGAUCUAAUUUAGUUAAAAUUUUGACAAUUAUGGGGUGGUCAGUCUUUAAGGAUUCAAGUGCUUGAAGACAAGACCUUGAGUCAGAGGCAAUUAAAAAGUUUCGUUCUUGACCCUUCUCAAUAUUUAUCAGAACCAGGAGUAAUGCUCGAGCCUCAGCUAUGAAGAUAGAGCCUUGGUCUGGAAUUUGAAUGCCAUUUUGUUUAUCUCCUAUCACUGCUACUCUCUAAACUUUGAACUGGUUCCCAUUGAAAAACAAGAAAUAUAAAGGGAAUUUUAAAAUUGUAAUUUACAGGCCUGGAAAAGCCAUGGAAGUUAAUAAAAUAUUUAAGUCACAAAUAGAAUGGUGCAAGGAUGACGCAAACAAAGUGGUGCAGGGAUGACGUAUUAUUGUAGGCUAAAACCUGGAAAUGAGUUAGCAUUUUAGCAUGUCAUAUUCCAUCGUCCUGAAGUCAAUGGGUUUUUGAAUGGGUUUUUGGUUAAAUGCUUGAAAUAAGGUCUGUGGUGAACACAAUUAUAUGUUAUAACACAAUUACAAUUAUAUGAUACCCCAUUUGUGAUUUUAAGCUUUUACAUGUCUUGUAAAAGGUGGUUGUUAUCAAGUGGCUAAAUGGGACUAGUCAGGGACAUUAAACGUCAUCAGCCAAACAGGUAAACUCAUUAAAUCACUAGUCCACUUUCACAGCCUCAUUGUGUUUAUAAUCACGCUAUUGGAAACUAUUAUAACUCGAACUUUUAGGGAAAAAGUUUCUAAAAAAGACAGAAAGAGUUGUUGGAAGCUUAAUGAUGAUGAUGUUGAAGUCAUGCGACCGUGUUGUAGUUCGUUUAUAGCCUACGUUUAGCUUUUGACUUGUACCGAUUGUAUUUACGCUUCAAAAAGUUGUGUUCAUGUGUGAAGAUUAUCUCGAUGAACAAAAUGUAUAAGAAUCAUAAGAUUUUGUUAGUCACAGAUCUUAUUUUCUGCAACAAUCCAAAAACCAAUGGAAAAAUCCUUUUGGGUUUUUGUCGAGGAAACCAGGGUGUUUCUAACUUCCAGGUUGGCCUACAAAAACACGGCAUCCUUGCACCACUCUAUUAUGUAGUGAAUAAACAUUUUUGUAUUUGCACAGCUACAUUGACUUUUUCUGUAAAAUCUAUAAAAUUAUAUUUAAACAUCCUUUCUCAGUAAUUACAAAUAAUUGGAAACUACGAAAAUUCACUGGUUGAAAGGUGCAUUGCCUUGGAAAUACCAUAGUAUAUGAAUACAAAAUGGAUUUAGUAUAUCAUACCAUAAUACUGCAAUUUGGCAACAUCCACAGUACAUUUUGGAAGGGAAUGUAACAUGUAAGGGAGUAUCAUAUCUUUCAGGAUAAUACUGUGCUAAUAUAACUCAGUGUCACUCAACUUGAAGUUUAAGGUCAUGAUUAAAAGUCACAGAUCAAAAAUAGCAUCAUCAACACAAACAGAAUGAGGGUAAGCACAGCAACACCAUUAUUAGAGGUGCAGGCCAGGGGCAGAUCAAAAUGACUCCACUAUAAGGGGUCAACAUGGUACUCUAAAAAUGAGCCAUAUGGGCUGUUGGGCAUGUUGUAACAAAUGAAGAUAUUGGCAUGAGAUUAAUCAGAUCUCCUGCAGUUUGACUCCUAGUUAACCUGCUUAUCUGUGCCAUAAAGGAAGAUGUUACUUGUGAGUGACAACUGAAAUGGACAUGGAACAUUAUAUAAGAUAUAAUGAAUUUUGUGUGCCAGAGUACAUAAAAGGUCUGUUAAAGCUUGCAUAAAAAUGCAUUUUCACUGAUUUGAUAGCUAUUCAAUCAUAUAAAGACCAUGGCUGCAUCCGAAUAUGCAUAAUAUAGUAUAUAUUGUCUAUAUAGUAGUCGAAAAACAGUCUGUGAAAAGGCAAAAAGUACCUGGAUGACCUCAGGCAUUAUUUUGAAGUGCGCAUCUGAUGGAUACUUUACUAACUAUCCUAUGAGGCCACGGGAGAAGAGUUGUGAAUGACAGUGAAGCAACACAACUGACGCUAGCAGGUCACAUGACAAUGACAACAUGGCGAAUGUAGUACGUCUGGAUUACAUUUAUACUACACACAUUCAUACUAUAAUAGAUCAAAGUGUAAAAGGAAUGUGUCAACUCAAAUGGCUAGCAAUCCGAUGACUCAAGGUGCAUAAAAUGACCAAGUGUAAAUACCCUCAAAGGUUAUGAUUGUUAUGAUCUAAAUCAGUGUGUAUUAUUGCUUUCAUACAGCAUAUGUAUAAACAAUUAUCAUCAAGUAGGGCGAACUUAUGUUUCAGAUCAAAUUUGGACUGUUCGUUUGUAUAUUUUUUUUUUCCGUUAAAGGAACUAGUUUGGUUCACCACUGGGGGGCGUGACUUUGGCAAUUUGAUACGCGCUUCGAACCACUGAUUUGAAACAACAGAUUCGUAAAGCUUUGAAGCUUCAUGAAGCAGUGUUUUGAAAUCGCUCAUCACUAGAUAUUGUUGAAUAAAGUCGUUAUUUUGUUUUUUUGGCGCACAAAAAGUAUUCUCGUCGCUUCAUAACAUUAAGGUUGAACCACUGUAGUCACAUGAACUGUUUUAAAUACAUCUUUAGUAGCUUUCUGGGCAUCUGAAAGUGUUAAUUGUCUUGCUGGCAAUGGAGGCCUCACUGAGCCAUCGGAUUUUAUGAAAAAUAUCUUAAUUUGUGUUUGAACGGAGGUCUUACGGGUGUGGAACGACAUGAAGGUGAGUAAUGAGAGAAUUUUCAUUUCUUCAUUUCAUUUUUGAGUGAACUAUCCCUUUAAUGGUGAAAAGCGGGGUUACGUUGUUACGCCAGUAGGUGGCGAAAUCUGUAUCAAGAGCGAGUCAUUGAAUCAUUAAAGCAAACGAUUCAUUUGGGAACGAAACGCCACUACUGUGUUGCAAGGAAACGCUUAACACUUUAUCCUGCUUUGACAUUGUUUGGAGCUGUUAAUAUUGUGUCUAAAUGUAAGUUACUCAAUAUUAUAUUAAUUGAACUGUUAUAAAUCAAUAUCACUCUCGCAGUAGUAAUGUUGUGAUUACAAGCGAUCUGAUAUUUGCUACGACAUCAUUCUUGCUAUAAUGUAUAUAUCUUGUAUAUAUCUAUAUGUAAUAUAUUGUGUGAUAAUGUGUAAUUGUCCAUAAUAAUGAUUAUAGGCAUAGUUAAAAAAUAAUAUCGAAGUUGUAUCAUAAUAUCAAUUGUAUCAUUUGAUUAUUCGUAGUUGGCUCGAAUUUAAAUUGACGAAUUGUUUCUUGAAUAUACCGUUAUGGUUUUGCGUUUUGUGAAUGAUAUGUUUAUCGACAAGUGAAGUGGACUGAGUUGGAGUCAUUGGCAUUGGAGUACCUUUCUUAAACAGAGACCAUCACUCGAGCUAGUGGAGGAUACGCAGCACUUAUAUAUGAUUUUUGAUUUCUGAACUUUUCCACGAUUCAUUACAUAGUUUGGAGAACAGUCUGAAUCUAUAAUAUGCGCUGCACCGAUGAGACUGAAACACACAAAUGCAAAGAAGACAUAAAAGACGACACACAGCGCAUACAUUAAAGAUGCACACACUUUUGCUGUGGAAAGGCUGUGCUGCAGGUGUUUGGGGGCCGACGGAGAGCUUGCAGAAUGAAUCAGAGGUUUAUUAAACAGCAGCCAAAACCAGAGGAGAGGAGAUGAGAUGAGAAGCGAACAGAAAUUGGGAAGACGAGAUGAAAGAAUCUGGAACGCAGAUGGAAGCUGUACUUGUGUGACUAGAAACCAUCUGUCCAGGGAUUUUACCAAGAUGGCCACCGAGUGAAGAGAUUUGCUUCAGAAGGAAUUUGUCAUUUGUCAUUGCCGUCGGUUUGAUUGACAGCUGGUACGGAUGAGUGAGAGCUCUUCCUGUCCACCCACCAAUCAGCCACCUCCUCCAAGCCCUCAACAUGAUGGCCGAGGGUCGGAGGUCAGUCUCAUGCUCUCACCUGAGGUCCUUCCACCCGUCUCACAGCAGACCAUCCAUCUGCCUGUCCGCGGCCACCACUAAUCAAAGCUGCCAGAGGGGCGGCCCCAUAAAGCUCUUCACGAGGAGAAUGCAUUUUGUUUGUGUAAGAGACAAAUGAGAAUUAAUGUACUUCAAAUCAAAAUUAAUAAAUGUAACAUACUGACAAAA